CCUACGGGCGGCAGCAGUGAGGAAUAUUGGUCAAUGGGCGCGAGCCUGAACCAGCCAAGUAGCGUGAAGGAUGACUGCCCUACGGGUUGUAAACUUCUUUUGUAAAGGAAUAAAGUGCGGCACGUGUGCCUUUUUGUAUGUACUUUAUGAAUAAGGAUCGGCUAACUCCGUGCCAGCAGCCGCGGUAAUCCGGAGGAUCCGAGCGUUAUCCGGAUUUAUUGGGUUUAAAGGGGGCGUAGAUGGGUUUGUAAGUCAGUUGUGAAAGCUUGCGGCUCAACCGUGGAAUUGCAAUUGAUACUGGCAGUCUUGAGUACAGUUGAGGUAGGCGGAAUUCGUGGUGUAGCGGUGAAAUGCUUAGAUAUCACGAAGAACACCGAUUGCGAAGGCAGCUUGCUAGACUGCAACUGACAUUGAUGCUCGAAAGUGUGGGUAUCAAACAGGAUUAGAUACCCGGGUAGUC
rnacentral:rRNA from 1 species